rnacentral:lncRNA from 1 species
UUUCUCACCCUCUAAGCUUAGGAAAAUUUUGACUUGGUUCAUUACUUAACCUCUUUUUAAUAGUGUUGGGACACCUCAAAAAGACCAAUGAGUCUUAAAAAAAAAAAAAAAAAAGAAAAAAAAAAAGAGAGAAUAAGCUUCUAUUCUUUCCUUGAAACCUAAGCAUGAUCCGAAGGGGUGGCGAAAGCCUUUAAAACCCGAUGCCCU